rnacentral:rRNA from 1 species
GGGGGCGGCCGCGGGAAUUCGAUUCAGGCCUAACACAUGCAAGUCGAACGAUGAAGCUAAAGCUUGCUCCGGUGGAUUAGUGGCGAACGGGUGAGUAACACGUGAGCAAUCUGCCCUUGACUCUGGGAUAACUGCGGGAAACUGUAGCUAAUACCGGAUACGACACCUUGGGGCAUCCCAGGGUGUGGAAAGAAUUUCGGUCAAGGAUGAGCUCGCGGCCUAUCAGCUUGUUGGUGAGGUAAUGGCUCACCAAGGCGACGACGGGUAGCCGGCCUGAGAGGGUGGCCGGCCACACUGGAACUGAGACACGGUCCAGACUCCUACGGGAGGCAGCAGUGGGGAAUAUUG